rfam:Aedes aegypti strain Liverpool supercont1.15 genomic scaffold, whole genome shotgun sequence.
UGCCCAGAAACUCCUAUCCCUACCUCCUCGUGGUACUGGCCGGGGUACGAGUAACCUUGGGGAAGAUCGGGUAACCAACCCCCGGUGUGAACUUUGGUCGUAUGCUGACAGGGAAGG